AUGUACACAAUAUUCUUUGACUCACAAUGCUUAGGAGGCCUAGAUAAACCUAUCCCAUAUCCUCGAGAUAGCAUCGAAUGGACCGGGUACAUGCCCAGCGGUCCAGCAUUGGCUCACAUUAGCCUACAUGAGAUAAAGAAUGUUGCAUGGGGGAUCAACUGUGCUACUACCAGUGGAUGCAAGAAGAUAGGCAAAUCUAUACUGAGGUCUUGUGUAGGAAAUUUGAUGGAUCUCAACUUGGAGCCUAGGCUGCGAAGCAUGCUCGUUGAGGCUAGAUUGCCGCUGAAGAUCGAAGAUAUCCCAUCUGAUGAUGAUGUUUCAGAUAUUGCUCAACCACCGAGCCCCCCGAAAGAAAGCAACUCCGAUGUAUUUAAUGAUUGGAUAUACUCUGGGAGAGGUUUUACAACAUAUCUCAAUGUUGGUGAAGCCAUGGUAGAUGGAGGACGGACAACACAAGAUGCAACUCAAGCUCCCAGAUUUCAGUCAAGGAGUUCUUCACAAGUACUAAAUUAG
rnacentral:rRNA from 1 species